rnacentral:lncRNA from 1 species
GCGAGAGCAGCAAUCUUCACCUGGUCGGCGACGGAAGAAAUCAAUUUCCCUUCCACCCUGCUUGAUAUUACUACGUAGUUGAUGCGCUACUGUUGAUGCUCAGUACCAGUACUAGUUGAUGCGUAUUUAAUCACCGUACUAGCACUUGGAGAAAAUAAUUCUUCGUGACCUGUAUCUUAUCCUAUUCCUCUAACCAAACGCUGAGACUACUGAACACUAAGACGGAACCAUUCCGUUCCGAUGGAAUGGAACCAUUCAAUUCUAUUCCACUUGGUUCUACAACUAAACACACUCUUAGUGUAACAAGCGAUUUUUUUUUACAUGCUGUUAUAGGUCAAGAAACAACAAAAUUGAUCAGGAGAAUUAGAUGGGGCAACAGACAUGCAGGUUAUUUGGCGUCACAGAAGUGUUUACGGUUUCACAUAUUUAAUGUUGUAUGAUCUUUUGGAAAGUGUUUACGGUUGUUGUAAUUCUUGAUGUUAUCAUGUAGGUGUGCAUUUCUGCCCAGCAUAGGAUGGCGUACAAGGAGAAUAUGGAGUCACCAAGUGAUCUGUAGUGAAGCUGUUUGGUUUAAUUAUGUAAAUUAGUGAACUAAGUAAUACGCUUGUAAAUAUAUGUAUAUUAAGGUCAUGUUAAUUCCUAGACCAAGAUGGCAGCAUAUGAUGCACCUUUAUUUGUUGAAAUGCUUCUGAUCCAACGAUCUUUUGAUGCUAUGAAUGAUUUUUGGCAAUUUGCUAUCCCUCACAAUUUGCUAGCUUGUACUAUUGUUUGUUGAGAUGG